GGACAGAAAGACAGAGACAGAGAGAGACAGAGAGAUGAGGGGAGUGAGAAGAAAAGCGAGAGAGAGAGAGAGAGAGAGAGAGAGAGAGAGAGGAGAGAGAGAAGGAAAUCUGUAUUCAUGUAAGGAGUUUUGACAAGAAGACAACAGCCGUGUAUGAUAAUGGAUGCAGGUCAGCGUUUGACACGAACUCCUGACGAAACCAGAAGCACCAGCAACACAGAUAUCUCAGAGUGUGAACCAACAUCCACCCUGCUUUCUAAACCUGCUGUUGGCGAUACAGCAGGUGUUUGUGCAGUGCUCUCUGCUGGUUCUGGUCCUCGGUGUGUUGCAGCAACAUCUACUGUUACAGGAUGGAGAGAGAGAGAGGUUACUGUCCUCCAUGUUGUUCUACUCCGCUCUCUCCACUCUGAUACAGAGCUGUCUGGGGACAUGCCUCCCUCUGGUCCAGGCUCCAUCUCUGGAAACCCUGAUUCCUGCUGUAGUCCUCACUGCCCAGAUUGUUACUGAACCGGCCUGCAGAGGGCACUGUGAGGAGAGUGAGGAGGAUAUCCUGCCCAGAGCCAACCCAGUCAGAGAGGUA